GGUGGGUUGGCUCAGUGGUUAUAGCGUAGCUUUCGUAACUGGAAGGUCGCGGGAUCGAAUCCUGCUAGAGGCUG
rnacentral:tRNA from 1 species